rnacentral:rRNA from 1 species
GAUGAACGCUGGCGGCGUGCCUAAUACAUGCAAGUCGAGCGGACAGGCGAGAAGCUUGUUGCGCUGAUGUUAGCGGAGGACGGGUGAGUAACACGAGGAUCACCUCCCUAUAAGAGUGAGAUACCUUCGGGAAACCGGAGCUAAUACCGGAUAAUAUUUUGAACCACGUGGUUCAAUAGUGAAAGACGGUGUUGCUGUAUCUUAUAGAUGGAUCCGCGCUGCAUUAGCUAGUUAGUAAGGUAAAGGCUUACCAAGGCAACGAUGCGUAGCCGACCUGAGAGGCGGAUCGGCCACCCGGGAACUGAGCCACGGUCCAGACGCCUACGGGAGGCAGCAGUAUGGAAUGGUACGCAAUGGGCGAAAGCCUUGCGCAGCAACGCCGCGCGUGUUACGGAGGCGCUCGGAUCGGAAUACUCUGCUAUUAGGGAAGAACAUAUGUGUACGUAACUGUGGCCAUCGUGACGGUACCUAAUCAGAAAGCCACGGCUAACUACGUG